AUCAGGACUGAACACAGAGACACACCAUGGAGUCUGGGCUGUGCUGGGUUUUCCUUGUUGCUCUGUUACAAGGUGUCCAAUGCGAUGUGCAGCUGCUAGAGUCUGGGGGAGGAUUGGUCCAGCCUGGGGGUUCCCUGAGACUCUCCUGUGCAGCCUCUGGAUUCACCUUCAGCAGCUACUACAUGAGCUGGGUCCGCCAGGCUCCAGGGAAGGGGCUGGAGUGGGUCUCAACCAUUAGUAAUGGUGGUGGUAACACAUACUACGCAGACGCCGUGAAGGGCCGAUUCACCAUCUCCAGAGACAAUGGCAAGAGCUCGCUGUAUCUGCAGAUGAACAGUCUGAAAGCUGAGGACACGGCUGUGUACUACUGUGCGAGAGACACGGUGACAGGACAUCAGUGUGUCCAGUGUGAGGUGCAGCUGGUGGAGUCUGGGGGAGGCUUGGUCCAGCCUGGGGGGUCCCUGAGACUCUCCUGUGCAGCCUCCAGAUUCACCUUCAGCAGCUAUGAAAUGAAUUGGGUCCGCCAGGCUUCACGGAAUGGGCCAGAGUGGUUCUCAGCCAUUAUACCUGUGGUAGCACAGGCUACACAGAUGCUGUGA